rnacentral:lncRNA from 1 species
UCAUUUCUGUUAAAAUUUCACAUGUUUAUUAAAAUGCAUUAAUAAAUAAAACUACAGUGAAACAAAUGAAAGCCAUUGGAUGUAUAAUUCCAAAGGAAGAAGCCUCUCACGUCUGCAGGAAAGAAACACAAGGCUCCCCUUCUAUCUCGGGGCAUCUCUUUUUGCCUGUUCUCAUACCACAAAAAACACUGGCUGGAUUUCAGCAGGACUCUCAGGGACCGCCAAGAGACUUAUUUCCUAGGAUCCUUUUCUGCCUUGUUCCACACUGCGGGGCAUGAGAGCUGGAAAAGCCACUCCCCGAGGCCUCCACACUUUGUUCUCCUGGGCCCUGCC